rnacentral:rRNA from 1 species
GACGAACGCUGGCGGCGUGCUUAACACAUGCAAGUCGAACGGCAAGGCCCUGCUUUUGUGGGGUGCUCGAGUGGCGAACGGGUGAGUAACACGUGAGUAACCUGCCCUUGACUUUGGGAUAACUUCAGGAAACUGGGGCUAAUACCGGAUAGGAGCUCCUGCUGCAUGGUGGGGGUUGGAAAGUUUCGGCGGUUGGGGAUGGACUCGCGGCUUAUCAGCUUGUUGGUGGGGUAGUGGCUUACCAAGGCUUUGACGGGUAGCCGGCCUGGGAGGGUGACCGGCGACAUUGGGACUGAGAUACGGCGCAGACUCCUACGGGAGGCAGCAGUGGGGAAUAUUGCACAAUGGGCGGAAGCCUGAUGCAGCAACGCCGCGUGCGGGAUGACGGCCUUCGGGUUGUAAACCGCUUUCGCCUGUGACGAAGCGUUAGUGACGGUAAUGGGUAAAGAAGCACCGGCUAACUACGUG